rnacentral:tRNA from 1 species
GGGUCGUUAGCUCACUUGGUAGAGCAGUUGACUUUUAAUCAAUUGGUCGCAGGUUCGAAUCCUGCACGACCCACCA